rnacentral:rRNA from 1 species
AGAGUUUGAUCCUGGCUCAGGACGAACGCUGGCGGCGUGCCUAACACAUGCAAGUCAAGGGUGUAGCAAUACACACUGGCGCACGGGUGAGUAACGCGUAGGUCAUCUGCCCCAAUCUCUGACAUAACAUCGAGAAAUCGGUGCUAAUAUCAGAUGAGGUGCUUCGGCAUCAAAGGUUUCGGCUGGAUUGGGAUGAGCCUGCGUCUGAUUAGCUUGUUGGCGGGAUAAAAGCCCACCAAGGCAGCGAUCAGUAGCUGGUCUGAGAGGACGAUCAGCCACACUGGAACUGAGACACGGUCCAGACUCCUACGGGAGGCAGCAGUGAGGAAUAUUGGUCAAUGGGGGAAACCCUGAACCAGCGACGCCGCGUGUACGAUGAAGGGGCUUUGCCCUGUAAAGUACUGUCGGAUGGGAAGAAAAGCACCCUCGGGGUGCCGGGACUGUACCAUCAAAGGAAGGAUCGGCUAACUACGUGCCAGCAGCCGCGGUAAUACGUAGGAUCCAAGCGUUGUCCGGAUUUACUGGGUGUAAAGGGUGCGUAGGCGGAUUUGUGCGUCAGAGGUUAAAUGUCACGGCUCAACCGUGAACCUGCCUUUGAUACGGCAAGUCUGGAGUACGGGAGAGGAAGGUAGAAUUCCUGGUGUAGCGGUGAAAUGCGUAGAUAUCAGGAGGAACACCUGUGGUGUAGACAGCUUACUGGACCAUUUCUGACGCUGAGACACGAAAGCGUGGGUAGCAAACAGGAUUAGAUACCCUGGUAGUCUUAGCCCUAAACGAUGGAUGCUUGGUGUGA